rnacentral:rRNA from 1 species
UACAGAGGGUGCAAGCGUUGUUCGGAAUUACUGGGCGUAAAGCGUGUGUAGGCGGCUACAUAAGUCGGAUGUGAAAGCCCCGGGCUCAACCCGGGAAGUGCACUCGAUACUGCGUAGCUUGAGUCUCGGAGAGGUUGGUGGAAUUCUCGGUGUAGAGGUGAAAUUCGUAGAUAUCGAGAGGAACACCGGUGGCGAAGGCGGCCAACUGGACGAAGACUGACGCUGAGACACGAAAGCGUGGGGAGCAAACAGG